rnacentral:tRNA from 1 species
GGGGCCGUAGUCUAGCCAGGCAGGACGACGGGCUCCAGCUCCCGAAAACUACGGGUAAACAGACCUCCAGCAGGAAUGAAGAAGAGCUGGAGCGCCCUUGAAGGGGAAACCCGUAGGUCGCCGGUUCAAAUCCGGUCGGCCCCA